UACCAGUAACGUAGCGUAGCCGUAACCGCAACGGGGGCGGUUACCACGGUAGGAUUCGUGACUGGGGUG
rnacentral:rRNA from 1 species